UUUCUUUGGCUAAUUUGGCUAAUUUCCCCAUAGCCACGGGGUGACUUCCCUGGUCACCAAGGCAGUGCAUGCAUAUUGGGGGUUCCUUUACCUUUUCUAUAAGUUGUACCAAAACACCCACUUAAGUUCUUUGUACCGUUCCUUCAAAUAAAGAAAUUUGGUACCCAAAAAAAAAAAAAAAAAA